rnacentral:rRNA from 1 species
GACGAACGCUGGCGGCGUGCUUAACACAUGCAAGUCGAACGGAAAGGCCCAGCUUGCUGGGUACUCGAGUGGCGAACGGGUGAGUAACACGUGGGUGACCUGCCUCAUACUCUGGGAUAAGCCUGGGAAACUGGGUCUAAUACUGGAUAGGACCUUUGGUUGCAUGACUUUAGGUGGAAAGCUUUUGCGGUAUGAGAUGGGCCCGCGGCCUAUCAGCUUGUUGGUGAGGUAAUGGCUUACCAAGGCGACGACGGGUAGCCGACCUGAGAGGGUGAUCGGCCACACUGGGACUGAGACACGGCCCAGACUCCUACGGGAGGCAGCAGUGGGGAAUAUUGCACAAUGGGCGCAAGCCUGAUGCAGCGACGCCGCGUGAGGGAUGACGGCCUUCGGGUUGUAAACCUCUUUCGCCAGGGACGAAGCGCAAGUGACGGUACCUGGUAAAGAAGCACCGGCCAACUACGUG